rnacentral:lncRNA from 1 species
CAACAUGUGUGGGACACCUAGAUAUAUAUAUAUAUAUAUAUAUAUAUAUAUAUAUAUAUAUACAUGCAUGCAUGGUUUAUUCUUGUCCACGAAUAUACUAGUCAACUCGUGGAAAAUAUAUAAUAAGACCUUAUUUGGAUGUAUUCGUAUUUAUAUCAAUCCACAUAUGUUUGGAUGGAUUGAAUGAGAUGAAUGCGAUAACAGCUGAAUAAGGCCUAAAUACUAUGGAGAAACAUGCGUGGCCAUUAGCCAGCAGAGCUGUGGAGAACUUGUGGAACAAAUGCUGUGGAGACUGGAGUCUGGAGAGCUCCCAUCGUCCAGCUAGCGUAUAGUGAUCGUCGCAUGCAUUGCAUAUGGCCGCCUUGUUGCAUCGGUACACAGGUACAAGCUGCUUUCACUAGGUUUCCUGGCCACAUCGAUAUCUCCGGUGGUCUCCGCUACCGCAGCGACAGCGUCGUCUCCCCGCUCGCCCCCAGGCCUCUCUCUCACCCGACUGCCACCACCAGCUGCAGUGCAGGCGAUCGAGGUCAGCAUUUGAGGAUUGGAGCUGAACCUGAACGGCGGCUGAGUGUGAAAUUCAUGUUUCGUUAUAGGAGUAGGAGCUAACUACUGACCCUGAAGGCUUUGCAUUGCAGAGAAGUUUUUUUCUUUUUUUUUUAAAAAAAAUGGAGCCAGCUUUCACAGUAGACACAUGUAUACUCUUCCUGGGGAUUAUUGACACUUAGCACUUUGGCAGGUGGCAUUACAGUAGACACAUGUAUACUCUUCCUUGCAAGUUGCAGCAAGGAGGGACGCUGGUGGAGGAUGCAAUGCACAUGCAGGGCAAGGCACUGUGAUGGAUCGAUGAACUGAACUGAUGGCACAAAAUCUCCUUUCACUGUGUCACAUAUUAACGCCUUGAGAUAAUUGUGAUCCAUUCUUUCAGUCCAUGCAUGUUGUCACAUGCAGCAUGGGUUUUGGGUUAUAUCAUUCAACUUGCACUAACGAAGACUUCAUUCUAGAAGGGGACUGAUAGCUACCACAACCACAAUGUAUACGAGUAUAUAUAUACUAGUAGAUAUUUGUGAAUAGACACAUUGAUAUGCCAUCAAAACUGAAAGCAGCAGAUCGAUCUCGUUUUGCUAACCACUUGGAAACUCAUCACCACAUCAUC